AGCUGACGAGUCCCAAAUAGAACGAAAUGCGCAUCCU
rnacentral:hammerhead_ribozyme from 1 species